rnacentral:rRNA from 1 species
GCUAAUCGAUUUGUAUGAUUAGUUACGUCUGCUCAAUGACGAAGUUAAAUAGCCGCAGUACUUUGACUGUGCAAAGGUAGCAUAAUCAUUUGGCUUAUCAUUGAAGUCUGGCAUGAAAGAGUUUAUGGGUAACGACUGUCUUUAUUAGUUGGUUAGAAUUUAUUUAAUAGGUGAGAAUACCUAUAGUUAUAGAAUAGACGAGAAGACCCUAGAAAUUUUAUAUAGUAAGGUAAAACACUUAUAGUAUUUUGUUGGGGCGACAGAAUAACACGAAACUUAUUUUAAUAUAUAAGAAUUAUGUAGUAAGCAAAAAUAAAUUACUCUAGGGAUAACAGCAUAAUUUGUGAAAGUUUGUGACCUCGAUGUUGGACUAGGGUUCUUAAUGGUCAAAAGCUAUCAAAGUAAGCUCUGUUCGAGCUCAUAUCCCUACAUGAUCA